GGUUUUUUUUUCACUGAAGACCUUCGAGCUCCAGUGAAGGUGUUGGUUGGCCAUGUCAGUAGAGAUGCCACUUCAUACCCUGUCAGCUGUCAUAAUACCUGAAAGACAAUUCUUCACAUGGCUUUCCAUCACCUCUUUUCUGGGACUAAAGCCUCUUCUUCCAUCCAAAGUGGUAAUGUGAACACCAGUCUGCCAUUCUCUUCUUCUGUGUUUAGUAAGAGCUUUAAUAAGACUGUAGUUUUCUGUAUGAAGAUUUUGUCUAGCAAUAGAAGGAUGGUGACACUGGAGGGUAUUGCAGAGAUUUGUUGUUUUUUUCAGUAUUCACUUGCUGUAAGUUUAUAAUCUUCUUAGAAUCAUGGAAUUUUUAAGGUUGGAAAAUAUUUGUAGGAUCAUUGAGUCCAACCAUUAACCCAGUACUGACACAUUCACCACUAAACCAUGUUCCCAUGUGCCACAUCUACAUAUUUUUGAACACUUCCAGACAUGGUGAUUCCAGCAAUUCCCAGUAGCUUGUUCCAAUGCCUGACCAUUCUUCACUGAUAAAAGCCAUGGCUUCAGAGAAGUUGUCCUGAUGGUUGGGUCUCUUCCUGCAGCUCAUGGAGAUUGCUUGUGAUUUUUAUAUUUACCAUGUUUAUUCUCUUACUUACUCUCUACCCUGAUGACAUUUUCAAAGCCAUGGCACUCCUGAUCUGAAGAGUUAGUGAUAUUAAGACAUGCAAUGAAAGUGUGUUAGAAUUGAGGUAAAUUUGGGUCUGGAGGUGAGGCCGUGAUUCACAGGUAUUCCAUAUGUGCAUCUAUGGGAUGUUUACACAAAGACCAUGGAAGUGAAACCAUUGUUAGAAAUCCUGAGUUUCACAUGUGAGGGAUUUUCAUUAAUUCUGUCGGAUCCUAUGAACAUCACAUGGAUCAAACCAAACCACAUGGUUAGUAACAGGAAUGCAAUUAUAAUAUUGCCUUUUUCAGACACAUUUUUUUCCCUUUUUCUGGCUGUUAAAAAGUUGUCUGUUUUAAAGGUAACAGUUAGUGACUAUAGAAACCCUGAGGCCUUCCCUGUGAGCAACUGAAAGCAAGAAACAAAACCCAAAAACGUGAAGAGAUCUCUUGUGACUCCCUCACACAGAAGAAAUCUGCUACCCAUGAUGGUGUGUGUCGCUCCCUCUCCUGUGUACACAAAUGAGGCAGAUCAAAGUUCAGACAGUACUAAUCUCCUAAUCAUACAAGCUUCUGAUUAGCAUUUUUAAUCAGUCUGGUGAUCACAGGGCAGCCUCAAAAUUGUUCUUGAAUACUAAGCUUUCGGAACAGAGUUCCAAAUAAUUUUUAUUUUGGUGGGUUGUUUUUGUGAAAUGUGUCUGGGAACGCUUCGUGUAGGAUGUGGUGUGCUGCAGAACUCAGCUCCAGUUACCUCUCCCCAUCAGUAGUCAGGACCUGCACCUCGAGGGUCUGUUUGAGUACAUUCGAGCCAUUCACGUGGAGGUUGUUACUGCAAUCGUGUCCCAACCUUUUCAUCUUAUUUGAGACAUCCAUGCUGCAUGUGAGAGUAUAGUGAUCCAGUGAUGGGGGCAAAAAAGAGGCAGAUGCUUUCUGCCUAAGGUGGCAUUACAUAAUUUUACAUUCAUUUUUUAAAUCUUAAAUUAUUGCUAUCUCUUACUGCAACCAGAAGAUCUGUAUAUAAAUUCAAUGUGGUCUUCCAUUAAUAGUCUCAAGAAAAAAAAAAAAGAAAGAAAGAAAGAAUGAGACACACAUGGUUUUCUGAGUGGUGCCUUCACAGUGACUGGAAUGGUGAUACCCUUGAUGUUCUGUUUCCAUUAUAGUAACAACAAAAUGUUUUCCAGAUCAGGUCUAGGAAUUCUGAAAGAAUCACAUUUUGAAAAUUAAAGGUAUUUGGGAAAUAUCAUCAAAACAAACUGUAGAGGAAGAAAAUAUUAAAUAGCACUUGUCUUUAAGCCAGAUGCAAGAAACAAUUCUUUCUUGUUACUGUGCUUAUCAUUGUGAUCAUUUCACUUCUGUGUAUAUUCUACGCCAAAAUGUCUCACUAGAAGCAUAUAUUAAUGCUAGUUUCAUCUUGCACUGCCAAAUUUGCUUGUUUUUCAUCUCAAGCACAAUUAGUAUCUUGAACUGAGUAACAGCCAAAGGCUUUGAAUUAGGGAACGUCUCACAGGAGAUCCAUGAAAGCAGCUCAUCUGAGAAGAAAAUAUUGAUGCUGCUGAGGGUGGAAGGAGAAGUAUGCUUGGAUUAAUUCUCUAUGGCACCUCCUAAAGGGAGUGGAAAAAGCAGCAGCACAGCCAUGCAACUAGAAACUGGGGCCCUGUAAGUUGUCCAUGAAGACUGUUCCAGCACAGAAGAGCUGAGAGUGCAUCAUCUGAGAAGCCUGGAUGAUUAGGAGAUGAUUGUUUGUGACAAGCACCCAACCAGCCCUAGGAGCCUGUUUAACUCCAGCUUUUCUAACUGAUAUAAACAGCAUCCAUGUAUCAAUCCCCCUGUCCUGUCCACGCGAUCAAAUGUUAAUAUCAAAGAAAAGCCAACAAUGUUCUCUUAAAAAAGAUCAGAAGAUAUCCCAUAAGCCAUUCAAAUUCUACUGAGAGGAAAGCUAUUGUCCUUUGCUAUUUUGUCCAGGUGGUUUAUAUGAGGGAGUCAUGGAGACAACCUCAGCUCAGUGCUGUCCAUAAUCACCUGGCUAUCAAGGAAGGAGCAAUCCUGUGCUUAUUUAGGUCCCUGGGAAAGGAGGACACACAAAUAUGACUUAACAAUAUAAGCUUGCAGAAAGCAAAUAUUAGUACGUCAAUAUUUAAAUGUUGAACGGUAAUUCAGGCCACCAUACCUCCUUAGGUGUGUAUAUAUACCCACAUGAUUCUUCAGGAGCUGAUGAAAAGUGCUUUGCUGAACCAUACUUGAAAUUUAGAAAACAGAUCCAGUGUUGGCAUCGGCACUGAGGGUUUGACCAGAGUCUCUGUAAUGGGUAAAUCCUGAACUGGGACCACUGUAUUUACAGAGAAGCUCCAACUGUAGUACCUAGGAUCAUCCUUGUGUUAAGAUCCCCAAUAGACAUUGAAUUGUCAGAUUUUUAUCUCCCAUUCAUUUUUGAGUUCUAGUGGACAGUUGUGAGUUGUAUUAUCAUAUUAGACUUUUGCAUGCUUCAAAGGCAAAACUUUGCCUUAAUACAGAGUUAUUUCUGCAAUUUAACUCAGGCCUUUGUUUUGCUUCCAAGGCUGCAACUAAUUCAACCAUGAACCAAAAUUAAAAUGCUAUGAAGAAGAAGGCAGUCUUACACUGUAAUAUGGAACCACAUUUCUCUUUACCUUACCCAAUUCCUCCCUUGUGUUUUGUAUCUUGCAGUCUUCCUGCUGCUGAUUUCUCUUUAAUAAUCUUGAGUAAUGCUACUUUGUUUUUCUGACGAGCUUUUGUGAUUACACCCUACAUUCAAUGCUUAGCUAAGAGCCACGCCCUUACUUGGGAGUUCAUCAGUAGUCAACCAAAAAUAAUGGGAUUCUCCCACAGUAUGUAGAGAUGCUACAAGCAGGAAUUCAUCAUAUCCUACAUGCCAUAAACAACCUCACAUAAGCCCAGGAAGGAGGUCAAGCUGAUGACUAUAAUCUUUCUGCCAUACAGUAAGAAUAAAAGGUACCAACCAGAUGUAGACACUUGAUGUGAUCUCCUUUAAGCUAUAAGAAAAUAAGGUCAGGUGGCUCCUUAUGUCCCAUGUGUGCUGUUAAUACAUUUUAGUUCAGGUACAUUGGCCCUAUUUAUUUCUCUAAGUCUGCCAAAAUGUCUUGUUGCAGGACAGAAUGAGGAGACAUGAUGCACAUUAGUAGUAUUCAAUAUGUUCUUCUGCCCAUAAGGUUUCAGUCAACAUCUACCUAAAAAAGGGAGUUUGUUAGAAAAACCUCAAUAUUUGCCCCCUUAAAUCAGUAUGGUCUAAGCCCUCCAAAUUCAUCACAGCAUCUGUGUUGAACACCCACUAGGUUUCUCAAGGAUAUAGGCAUCUGAUUAAAUGCUUGCCAGAUUUGAAGAACUCAUGCACAUGCAUAAAGCCAUACUGAAAUGGGGGUUAACUUGCAAGGACUGUUACAUGGCAUAUCCUCCCCUACACACAUACCAUUCUUUCUUUCUCAGUUUCUCAAGUUUGCUGUCUCCACUGAAUCCCAGUGUCAUUGAUUUUACUGUGUUUUCAUUUUGCCAGUGAUUCUCUAUUACUCUGCUCUCUAUUACUCGCACUCUGAGAGCAGAGUAAUAGAGAAUCAUUGCCUAUUUCUCUGCUUCCCAUAUGCUUUCCCUCUCUUUGCUACACAUGACUUUGUCCCUCACCUCUUGAUCUUCUAGACCCAGUGCAAAUUUUUCAUUUGUUCUUCUCUCUGUAAACAGAAUUCCUUCCUCUUCUUCAAAUCUCUUCAAACACGGGAGUUCGAGCUUACUGUUGAUUCCCUAUUCCCAGAGGAUUUGGGAAAUUUGACUGUGCUUACCUAUAACUGUAAGAAGCAAGGUUAGCUGCCAUCAUGCUAAACACAAGGGAUAGGGGCAGGUCAAAGCUCUGCAGGCUAAUUGCAGCAUUUUUCCAUCACUAUACAACACAUUUGUUUGCUGUCCAUAAUUUCAUUCCUCUCCCAGGUAAAGAAACUAAAUUCAGUUCCAUAAAAUGUUCUCCAUUUGUUUUCUUUUGGAAAGUUCUUGUAUGUCUGUGAAAUAAGUGAAAUUCAAAACAGCUACUGAGGAGACAUCUUCACACACCUCAAUCAACCACACUUUUGUUCAGCUUUCAUACCUGCUGGGAUCUGUUUCCAAAAGCCUUUGCUAGUCCCUCAGAAUGAGAAGGAUCAUUAACUAAGCAAAAAUUGAUUCAUUACAGUGAGAAAAAUUUUCAACAGCUAUGUGUUGCUAGCCCAAACCACAGGCUGCUGUGAUCUUAUGAAUACACAGGAGGAAGCUGUGGAGAAUUCUCACACAAAAAAAGCCUCAGAUGAUGUCAGUGCUUGAAAGCAUGAAGGCUGAAGAGGUUCAGUGAAAGCCCUGUUGGGGUAGCUGGGAGAGAUUCAACAGGGUAGCUCCUUUUCCUCAUUAGAUUAGGAAGAGAAGAGUGAGUAUUCAUCCUUAGUGAUUGGGGAAAAAAAACAACUGCAGACUCCAAACACUAUAUAAGCAAGUGAAGGAGUGUAUGUCCUGGUAACUGAUGUCCAUGAAACAACAAUAUUGAAAAGGUAAGACCUGUCUUUAUUCAGAUACUUGUAAAACAUAUGCUUGAAGGAACCUGGAAAGGUCAUCCUGUUCAUUCCCUCUUCCUAAGGCAACUUCAACUCUCCCUAAUCUUGAGUGGGCUUGCUCUGAAACUUAAUAUCCAUUUUUAUACUGAAAUUGCUGUUUGACUGCCUAUCAAAGCUUUUAAAAUAAAAUGAUGGUGAAUAACGUUAAGAAAAUUUACACCUCCUACUUUGGCUGGCAUCUUUUUUUAACACUGUUAGUGAGCAUAACUUGGGGAGUUCUGGGAAUUUUUCCCCUCAUCUGACCACAGACUUUCAAAAACAAAAGUUUAUUCUAUUGAAAAUCUAUUAUGUUAAAGCUAAGAGGAACUGUCAUAACUGUCAAUCAGAGAAGGGAAGAAUCUUCUUACCAUUUACUUCUGUAAAGUUAGUAGAAAUCAGGUUCUUUUAUAGACAGUAGGAAGAAAAUAACCGUGCCCAGGGAAGAUAAAUUCAGUGUAUAAAAUAUCGUAAAAUGAUAGUCGAGAUGGAAUGGCAAUCAGAGGAAUCAAGUGAGUGGGAAUAGUGCUCAAUGGAGUGUUUUGUAUGAGGAGUUCAGAGCAUUUAUUUCAUUGAUAUUUCACGUUGUUUCCUGUGGAAAAGAUAAGAAAGGAGGGUUAAUUUACUCCCCAUUAUGUUCAGACAAGAGAGAGGAGAACAGAGAAGACUGGUUCAGAGUCCAGGUUCAGAACAGUCAGGGGAAAGGUAUUUGUCUAAGCAGGCAUUUAAGAGAAGGAAGGGAGAGCUUUGGUUGGUACACAAGAACAGGAGAUGGUUCUAAGCAAGCAGGCCAGGCACAGUCAUCUGUGGGAGCAGACAAAGGGAACCUUAAUCAAAGUGGAUCAGGAGAGUGAGUGAAACAACCUCAUCUGGGGAAAUGAGCACCACUACAUCCAUCCACUUGGAAGAUCGUCUUGUACUGCGAAUUUGAAAGGGGUUGGUGUAGCAGGAGGGAGACAUCACUGUAGCUGCAGUACUUUAAGAAGAUUAUCCUCUAUAAAAGCUCCCUUUAUGUCUACAAAAAUGUCCACGCCUGUAGCACGGCCUCCUCUAAACCCAGAUAACUCCUGUUCAUUACCAUUAAUGAAAAGGCACGUUCAAAUCAAAUACUGAUGUGUUUUCAAGCGUUGGCAGGAUUACUUUUUACAGUAUUUCCAUGUUAACUUCUUAACAGACUUCACAGAAAAAUACCAGAAAAAUUUGUAGUGAUUGCCAAUUUUAACAAGAAAUAUUUAUCACUGGCAAAUAACAAAUAUAGCACUCCUGCAAAUUAACUUCUAUGCUAUUCCUAACUCCUUGCAGGGGUAGCAGCAGGCUCUUUCAGCUAGCUUUGGUCAUAAGUGUGCUCAGCUGCCUCUUAGCAUCAGGGCAGCCUGGGUUCAGCACAGGUCCGCUCAGCUGGCUGCUCUUUUCAGCCUGUAGUAGGAGAACAGCAAAGGUGGCACUACCCCAUAGUCCAAUUUAAUAGCAGCUAUUGUGGGUGUCACCUACCUGUCAUGUCUGACUCACUCCACCAUUUUUCUGUUGUUUUCAUUUAAAUAUUUAAACACUCAAAUAUUCCAGCCACUUUACAUUUCAUCUCCUCAGAAAGAAGCAAUGUUUCAGAGCUGUUACCAUGGAAACAAUGGAGUGAGGAGGCAGCUAAACAUAAAAGGAUCCACAAGGAGAUGGAAGCAUUACUGAUGGAGCUUCUUGCUCAGAGACUUGAAAGUUUGCUCUGUGCAGGUUCCAUUGUACCAAUGUACCCAGAAAAUUGAUAGCCCAUUUUCCAAGCAUUGAUGUUUGAGUGAUUUGGAGGUAUAUUUGAAAGAAUGACCCAAGUAGGAAGAGUCAGAAUUAAGAAAGACAGACAUUCCAGGCCAUGCAACAGUCCCGUCCUUUCUCCAGUGACUCUGUCCACUCAUCUAACACUUCUGAAAAGUAGAGUUCCUAGAACUUUUGGGUAUAAUCAUUGAACAGCUUCACCUAUAUGGAAUAGUGCCUAUUGAAGACCACAGUUCACAGAUACAAUCAUGAAUUGGCAAGAGACUUUCCUAAAGCCAGAGAAGAAGUGAGG